rnacentral:misc_RNA from 1 species
ACACCUCAACUCUCAUGGUUUGCCAUGAUGAGCUUGGACUUUGGGGGUCUUGCUGGCCUACGGUCGGCUCCUCUCAAAUGAAUCAGCUUGCCAGUGUUUGGUGGCGUCACAGGUGUGAUAACUAUCUACGCUUGUGGUUUUCUGCCAGGUAACCUUCAGUGAUGGAGGUUCGCUGGGGCUCACAAAUGUCUCUCCUCAGUGAGGACAGCUUUUUGAU